ensembl:lncRNA
GAAUCCCCCACCGCCUGCCAUCGACAUAGCUUCCACCCGUGAGUUUCGUAAGGAUCUUGUGUAAGGCUGUUGUUACAUAGUCUUCAAUGGCUAUUACAUAUAUAUGUAGUAGCUAUCUACAGUGUUUCCAGAAGUCCGGAAAAUUGUCAGUCGCUCACGUCGCAUGUGAAGAUGUAUCCGAAAAGAAAAAGUGCAAUGGAUAGUCAAAUUAUUUCGGCAGAAAUUGCUUUAGGUCUUGUUCUGUGUACAGCAUAUCGGAUAAUUUCGAAGAACAUUUUCAGUCAACAGGAGGAGAGUCAACCUGUUGACAGUGAACAGUUUGAGCUAACAAGGUCACUAGUGUGUGUAUGGCUUGCAAGCAACAUAAAGUUCCUACUCAUUAAAUGCAACAGCAAUCCAGUUUCACUGUCUGCACAUUCAACAUCCAGGCUGAUUGCAUUUCUGGCACUUCUACUGGAUAGCUGCUACGGAAUUAAUUAUCAGAGACUAUAUACUAACGAACGGCCUACAGUGGACAUGGCCAUGUGUUCUUUCUUCAUAGUGAGCAGUGUUGUCCUCUUCUUUUUGGACCACAGCCAGCUGCAGAGCAGAGUGGACUUGCGCAUGAUCUUCAGUGACUCUCAGAAGUUCUUCCUUCAGAUGGACUUUUUUGCCACCUUUGUCUUUGGCCUCCUCUGGCUGGCCUUCCCCGAUUGGCUCCUAGGAUUCCAGCCCAUUACAGGUUCUGAGGACACCUUCCAUCUUCACCUCAGUAGAGCCUUUGGCGCCAUGAUGGUGGGUGACAGUUUUGUCUCUUUUACAACACAGAAUUUCCAACCCAACAAAGAAAAGCCAUCCGUGUUCAUAAGCCGAGCAGUGGGCAGCUUGGUGCUGCUGGUGUUCCUGGUCCACUCUCAGCUGACCACCUCUGCCUGGGCCCCUGCCCAGAUCUGGUUUGGCCUGGUGGGAGCCAGCCUCUGGACAGGAAACUCCAUCUUAGGUUACCUCAGCUCUAAACAACAAAAUAUGUAAGAAGUCCAUUCACAUAGACACUGAACACAACAGUCACAACAUAACAGGCAGAAGUUACAUUGAACCCUCUUCUGUGUCCCACAAGACUGUUAGCCGCUUAAGUGAAGUUGAUCACGUGAGCAUGGUUAAUCAAACCACAGCUGUUGCACAGAAAGCAGAGGCAGAUUCUCUGGGAACCUGGAGUGACUUAGAAUGAGUGAUUAUUUAUUGUUAAACAAUUUCCAUCCUAUGUUGUUCAGUCUUAUGAUUUUCAUACUUCACCAUGAAUGAGAUGGUGAUGGUCAUUGCUGACAGAGGUGGAAAGAGACUCUUUGGAAAUCUAAAUGUCUAAAUAUACUGUACUGUACAUUUGUAAAUGUGUAACUCCUCUGAGAGGAGGUUAGAAGCCAUCGGAGAUUGUAAAAGACACUUGACCCCACCAUUCCACUGUACAGAAGUGAAUAGUAAGUAUGCAGGCUCAGCCUUAGAAACAUAAUUAUGAAAUAACUUUUUAGUAACUAUUGAUGGGAAGCGUGGAGGUGUUGUAGCUGCACCCAUAUGACUAAAUAGAUGUAACUGACGUUGAAAUUCUGUCAAGGAAUAAAAGUGAAGGGAAAUGUUACUCAGAAACAUUGUGAUAUUCUAAUCUAGUGCUUCCUUUUUAUUUAUCCUGCUCCAAGGCUUGAACUCUCUGUAACCACUAGAUGGUGCUAUGCACAUGGCCAUGGAGUGCCUCUGAAUGGAUUUGAAUCAUAGGGAAUCUAGCUUUUAAUAGCCCAUCGUUCCUAUCAUUAUAUUUCCAUGACAUAGUCUGACCAGUUGAAUCCAGGUGAAAGCUAUCAUCCCUUACUGAUGUAACUUGUUAAAUCCACUUCAAUCAAUCAAUGAAGGGGAGGAGACAGGUUAAAGAAGGAUUUUUAAGCCUUGAGACAUGGCUUGUGUACGGGGUGAAUGGGUGUAACGGAUGUGAAACAACUAGCUUAGUUAGCGGUGGUGCGCGCUAAAUAGCGUUUCAAUCGGUGACGUCACUUGCUCUGAGACCUUGAAGUAGUAGUUCCCCUUGCUCUGCAAGGGCCACAGCUUUUGUGGAGCGAUGGGUAACGAUGCUUCGUGGGUGACUGUUGUUGAUGUGUGCAGAGGGUCCCUGGUUCGCGCCCGGGUAUGGGCGAGGGGACGGUCUAAAGUUAUACUGUUACAUGGGCAAGACAAAAUAUUUGAGUGCCUUUGAGCGGGGUAUGGUAGUAGUAGGUGAGUGUGUCAAGAACUGCAACACUGCUGGGUUUUUCACUCUCAACAGUUUCCUGUGGUCCACCACUCAAAGGACAUCCAGCCAACUUGACACAACUGUAGUAAGCAUUGGAGUCAACAUGGGUCAGCAUCACUGUGGAAUGCUUUUGACACCUUGAUACCUCGGCAAAUUGAAGCUGUUCUGAGGGCAAAAGGGGGUGCGACUAAAUUCUAGGAAGGAGUUCCUGUUUUGUACACUCAGUGUAUAUGUUAGCUGUUGUGAAUACUUCAAAUUAUAUAGCACAAUGAGUAUAUAUUUUGAUGAUUGUGCAUUGACAGUAAUAGGUACACUCACUUCAUAGGACAAUUUUGGUUGUGAGCUAAAAACACUGACAGGUGCUCUGUCUUUCUAUAAAACAUCCUCACAACUGUUAGUCAAUACUGACACCUUGACCUUGACCAUGAUCAUGCUUAUAAAAAUUCACAACAACACAACAUCAGAGAACUAUAGAGGUUAUUUAAAUCAGUACAACUGCCAGUUGAGUACAGCAGAGAAGAUUGAGGUUGAGGAAAAGGUUACUUGGCUCCACUGGUCCUGACUGCUGAUGUGGUUGGAUUACCAAAUUUCCAUUGCUCUUCAUGUGCACUUCUCUCAGCUGGCCACAUCCUUUGUAGUCACCCUAAGAAACGGUGACUGAACCCUGAAAAACGGAUACCAAAUGACCGACUGUGCUCCGGUGUCUAAUGAGCACACAAAUGAAGCAGGUAAGCAGUUUACAGAGGAGAGGACAAACCUGGGACAAUGAGCAAAACUGGUUGGAAAGAUGUCUUUUGACUUUGAAAAUGCGUAUUUUUAACAAGUUUUGCUUACUGUGGGGUGGAAAUGGGUGCAUCUUGCAAUGGCACUUUAUUCCCUACGUAGUGCACAACUUUUGAAGUUGAGCACUACAAAAGGAAAUGGGGUGCCAUUUCAGACAACGUCUAAGUCACAACAUGUCCUUACAGAUUUCAAAUAAAUCAGUGUGGGUUAGAAUGAUCCAUCCUCAUGAAUGAUGCAGAUAUUCUGUGAAUAAUAACAACACAAGUGUACUUGGUUAUAACAGAUAUUUAAAAAAUGUAAUAAAGCUGCUUUCCUCUCAUCAAGAGGUCAAGCAGGAAGUAGCACUCUAUAUGUUUGGAGUUUGGAGUGUUGCGCUCGCAAGUCAAUAAGAGCCAGUGAGGUUGUUAGAGCCAGUGUGAUCACACUUAGUGAUUCACAAUCACAUGGCAAAGGCAUUGGCAGCAAAGUAUCCCCAGAGCCCAGCAAUUCAAAAGUUGUCUAUCUGGAUUAACGCCUAUAGGAUAAGAUUAAAUGCAUAGAAAUAUAAUGAAUAGAACUCGAGUCCCCAUUCUAGUCA